CUGAUUCUGACAUAAAAUAGCUCUGAUUUCUUUUGCAGACUAAAGACCAUAUACCAGGCUAUAACUUAAAGCUUUUAAAUAACAAAAACAACAAACGAGUAACGAUCUGUGGCGCCUGACAUUAGGUUGUCAGACCACAGAUUUUGUUCUUGAACAGUUUUAGAAAAACGUACUUUUACUCACUUUGGUGCUAUGGAUCCAUCAUGGAUCAUCAUAUAACCACUAAAAACACCUUCUAGCAAU
rnacentral:lncRNA from 1 species